rnacentral:rRNA from 1 species
UACGUAGGGUGCGAGCGUUGUCCGGAAUUACUGGGCGUAAAGGGCUCGUAGGCGGCCAACUAAGUCAGACGUGAAAUCCCUCGGCUUAACCGGGGAACUGCGUCUGAUACUGGAUGGCUAGAGGUUGGGAGAGGGAUGCGGAAUUCCAGGUGUAGCGGUGAAAUGCGUAGAUAUCUGGAGGAACACCUGUGGUGUAGACGGCUUUCUGGACCAUAGCUGACGCUGAGACACGAAAGCGUGGGUAGCAAACAGG